rnacentral:rRNA from 1 species
AUUGAACGCUGGCGGCAUGCCUUACACAUGCAAGUCGAACGGCAGCACGGGCUUCGGUCUGGUGGCGAGUGGCGAACGGGUGAGUAAUGUAUCGGAACGUACCAUUGAGUGGGGGAUAACGUAGCGAAAGUUACGCUAAUACCGCAUAUUCUCUCCGGAGGAAAGCAGGGGACCGCAAGGCCUUGCGCUCUUUGAGCGGCCGAUAUCAGAUUAGCUAGUUGGUGGGGUAAAAGCUCACCAAGGCGACGAUCUGUAGCGGGUCUGAGAGGAUGGUCCGCCACACUGGAACUGAGACACGGUCCAGACUCCUACGGGAGGCAGCAGUGGGGAAUUUUGGACAAUGGGGGCAACCCUGAUCCAGCCAUGCCGCGUGAGUGAAGAAGGCCUUCGGGUUGUAAAGCUCUUUCGGCCGGGAAAAAAUCGCAUGGAUUAAUACUCUGUGUGGAUGAUGGUACCGGAAUAAGAAGCACCGGCUAACUACGUGCCAGCAGCCGCGGUAAGAC